rnacentral:rRNA from 1 species
GAUGAACGCUGGCGGCGUGCUUAACACAUGCAAGUCGAACGGGAAACUUUUCAUUGAAGCUUCGGCAGAUUUGGUCUGUUUCUAGUGGCGGACGGGUGAGUAACGCGUGGGUAACCUGCCUUAUACAGGGGGAUAACAACCAGAAAUGGUUGCUAAUACCGCAUAAGCGCACAGGACCGCAUGGUCCGGUGUGAAAAACUCCGGUGGUAUAAGAUGGACCCGCGUUGGAUUAGCUAGUUGGCAGGGCAACGGCCUACCAAGGCGACGAUCCAUAGCCGGCCUGAGAGGGUGAACGGCCACAUUGGGACUGAGACACGGCCCAGACUCCUACGGGAGGCAGCAGUGGGGAAUAUUGCACAAUGGGGGAAACCCUGAUGCAGCGACGCCGCGUGAAGGAAGAAGUAUCUCGGUAUGUAAACUUCUAUCAGC